UAGGGAAUCUUCCACAAUGGACGCAAGUCUGAUGGAGCAACGCCGCGUGAGUGAAGAAGGCUUUCGGGUCGUAAAACUCUGUUAUUGAAGAAGAACGUGUGUGACAGUAACUGGUCAUGCAGUGACGGUAUUCAAUCAGAAAGUCACGGCUAACUACGUGCCAGCAGCCGCGGUAAUACGUAGGUGGCAAGCGUUGUCCGGAUUUAUUGGGCGUAAAGCGAGUGCAGGCGGUCUUUUAAGUCUGAUGUGAAAGCCUUCGGCUUAACCGAAGAAGGGCAUCGGAAACUGGGAGACUUGAGUGCAGAAGAGGAGAGUGGAACUCCAUGUGUAGCGGUGAAAUGCGUAGAUAUAUGGAAGAACACCAGUGGCGAAGGCGGCUCUCUGGUCUGUAACUGACGCUGAGGCUCGAAAGCGUGGGUAGCAAACAGGAUUAGAUACCCUGGUAGUCCACGCCGUAAACG
rnacentral:rRNA from 1 species